AGGCUCUUUCUUCUUUUUCUUCCAGUGGUGUUCACUCCACAAUGGAUUGUACGAUUUUCGCUAGACAUUUCUUGUUGGGGGUUUUCCGGUGUCGAUUGGCUCUCGGAGCUUGGAUUGUUAGUUAGAUGAGAUGAGAUGAAACUGAGGAGUUCGUCUGGUUGGAUUGUUGCAAGAUUUCAUCUUUCGUGCUUCUGAUGGGUUCAUCCGUGUCAGUUUCUACCAAGAAUCCACAUGAAGGCGACUCCGGUUGUUGGGGGGCAGUUCUUUUCUUGGACAGUGUUUCUGAAACUAUAUUCCCUUACAGCAAGCAUUCUGAGUUUGAAUUUUGAGGGUUUUCAUCUAUUUCUUUUCCCCCUACUAAAAAAAUAUUUCUUUUCCCUGGGAAGUUGUAAAUAUAGCUUGUAUGGUAAAAUUGGUGUUUUGUUGCAUCGGUGGUUUAUUCGUUCUCAUUUCUGUUGCCUCGCCAUGGUGAUAGUAAUCGCUGUAGGAUUAUUUCUCGGUCUUCGGAGAGGGGGGGUCUGGAUAUUUGGCCCCAAUCGAUUUCUUUCGGCCAUGGGCGUUGAUCUUAGGUCGUCAAAAGUUCUUGAGCUUGGACUGUUGGACUAUGGAGUUAAGCAUGUAUUUUACCCCUCAAGUAAUAGAAAAUUUCAGUGUCAUGAUGACUACUAAUGGGCUUCAGCUUUCUAGACUCCAGAGUCGAUGGUGUUGAUCCAGCCAAGAAAUUCCCAACUCGCUAAUUUGUUGAUGAAGCAGAUCUAGCGUAAAUCUGAGAUUUCUUUGGCUGUCUAAGAUAUAUAUAUAGUAGUAAUGUGAUGCAAAUACGAAUAUGAUUGGGUUUCAAAAGAUAUCUUGUCCAAUUGAUAUUUUAUUUUGAGAUAGACGUGUAAUUGGUAAGUUUUCAGUUAUAUUUUUAUCUCUUAUAGAAACCCUAAGAUGAGACGUACUUUUCCAAAAACGUGCUUCGAUUGACACGUCCCUGAUAUGAUUGAUGUGUACCCAAUUGUGACAUGUACUUGAUAAAAGAUAAGACUUGAUAUUUUCCU